GACGAACGCUGGCGGCGUGCCUAACACAUGCAAGUCGAGCGAGUGAAUCUACUUCGGGAGUGAAGCUAGCGGCGGACGGGUGAGUAACACGUGGGCAACCUGCCUCAUAGAGGGGAAUAGCCUUUCGAAAGGAAGAUUAAUACCGCAUAAGAUUGUAGCUUCGCAUGAAGUAGCAAUUAAAGGAGCAAUCCGCUAUGAGAUGGGCCCGCGGCGCAUUAGCUAGUUGGUGAGGUAACGGCUCACCAAGGCGACGAUGCGUAGCCGACCUGAGAGGGUGAUCGGCCACAUUGGGACUGAGACACGGCCCAGACUCCUACGGGAGGCAGCAGUGGGGAAUAUUGCACAAUGGGGGAAACCCUGAUGCAGCAACGCCGCGUGAGUGAUGACGGCCUUCGGGUUGUAAAGCUCUGUCUUCAGGGACGAUAAUGACGGUAC
rnacentral:rRNA from 1 species